rnacentral:rRNA from 1 species
CAAAAACAUCGCCUCCUGCAAAAAUCAACAUAUAGGAGGUCUUACCUGCCCAGUGACCCUAAGUUAAACGGCCGCGGUAUUUUGACCGUGCAAAGGUAGCGCAAUCACUUGUCUUUUAAAUAAAGACCCGUAUGAAUGGUGAAACGAGGGCUUAACUGUCUCCCCCAUCUAGUCAAUGAAAUUGAUCCACCCGUGCAGAAGCGGGUAUAAUUAUACAAGACGAGAAGACCCUUUGGAGCUUAAGAUAAAACACCAACUAUGUCAAUAGUACAAAACACUAAACUAAAUAGCACUGGUUUAAAUCUUCGGUUGGGGCGACCACGGGAGAGAAUAAAGCUCCCAUGAGGAAUGGGAACACACCUAAAACCAAGAGAGACAUCUCUAAGACACAGAACAUCUGACCAAAAGAUCCGGCUAUUUGCCGACCAACGAACCAAGUUACCCUAGGGAUAACAGCGCAAUCCCCUUCCAGAGUCCAUAUCGACAAGGGGGUUUACGACCUCGAUGUUGGAUCAGGAUAUCCUAAUGGUGCAGCCGCUAUUAAGGGUUC